rnacentral:rRNA from 1 species
UACGAAGGGGGCUAGCGUUGUUCGGAAUUACUGGGCGUAAAGCGCACGCAGGCGGAUUGAUAAGUCAGGGGUGAAAUCCCGGGGCUCAACCUCGGAAUUGCCUUUGAUACUGUCUGUCUUGAGUCCGGGAGAGGUGAGUGGAAUUCCUAGUGUAGAGGUGAAAUUCGUAGAUAUUAGGAAGAACACCAGUGGCGAAGGCGGCUCACUGGCCCUGUACUGACGAUCAUGUGCGAAAGCGUGGGGAGCAAACAGG